ACAGACUCAAGGCAUUGUAAUGCUUCAGGACCACGUGAAAUCUUCUCAACACUCAACCUCAUAAUCCAUCCAACCCAGGGGACAUGAGGAUAAGGAUUGGAGACGCUGGAAACUGUCGUCACUGUGCAACUGUGUCAACAGGAAGAACUUGGCAAGGAAAAGGCUGUGUCCUCAGCUACCAGUGUCUGAAAUCAGGGUACUGUGCUAAGACACUAGCAGGCAGAUCCAAAAUAACCUCUUAAAGAAUGUCUUAUCUAACAGACGCUCUGUUCUGAAGCCUGGUGAGCUGCCUCCGCCAGCAUCAUUUGAAGGGCACCUCAUCUAGUGCUGGGAGUUUUUGGAUCCGGGACGAGUCCAGGCAUCCAGGCAAG